GCCAUAUUGAAAUUUUAUUUGGGUCUCUGUUGCUUGUAGGCUAGUUGAAGUGGCUAUGAUAAGGGGAAAAAAAACGAGGACUUCUAAUGAUUGCACAUUCAAACCAUAUGGAAGAGAAGAUGACAUAAAUUCACCCAGGCAGUUGCAACAGUUUACUGUAGAGGAACAAACCAGCAGCUGAUAUCUCUUCAACCCUGAGUCCAUUAGGCAGGUGCUGAUUAACCAGAUGGAUACACAAAAUGGUGAUCCAGCAGCUGAACAAGAUGGAGGAAUUCUUCGGAAGAGGCACAGAGAGCAACGAAUAGCUGGAACAGUGCAGAAGAUUCAAGAAAUGAAACAGAGGAUGAUAGAGGCUGAGAAAAAGCAGAAUCAGUGGCUCUAUUGGAGGACUAUCCUCCUUGGCAUGGGUGCUGGUGCAGCCAUCACUGCUGGACUCUUCACAUUAUGGACUCUCCUCUUACGCUGACAACCUACAAUGAUAAUAAUUAUAAGUAUGAGACUACCACGUCACCAUUACCAUCAUGGAUGACAAGUUCAAGUUACUUUAUUUGUACCCAGAGGUAGAUUUUGUUUGCAGUAGAGUCUUCAUACACACAUAAACAAAGAAGCACAUAUCACACAUCAUCAAUUUAAGAAAGAAAUAAAAAGGCAAAUUAAAAAGUUCUUAUUAAAAUGAAAAAGUUCUUACAGGUCCACACUAUUCUUUGAUAUUGAUGUGAACUAAAAUAUGAAUAAUAAAAAGAAAAUAAAACAAAACGGUAAACGGUACUUUCCGGAUCCCA